AUGGUCAAAUAUACGUCAAAACACCGGUUCUCAUACGAUCACCGAAGUUAAGCAACGUCCAGCCCGGUCAGUACCUAGAUGGGUGACCACUUGGGAAUACCGGGUGCUGUAAG